rnacentral:sRNA from 1 species
UUAGUAUAAAUGAAUAUUGGCUUUCAACAUCUCAAGGGCGGUCUGGCUCACUCCCUCAUGAAAGGGGGUGAUGCACGUGUCAACAUUUCAAGCAUUAAUGCUUAUGCUUGCUUUCGGGUCAUUUAUAAUUGCCCUGUUGACUUAUAUAAAGAAGAAAUAGACCCACCCCUUGAGCUCGGCAAAGUAAAAGGGUAAAGUCUAUCCUAAAUACUUUCAUGAAGUUGUUAAGCCAGCCCUCUUGAUGGGCCAACAUUUAUACUGACCCGGCGGCAACCGGGUC